rnacentral:lncRNA from 1 species
UCUCUUUCUCUUUCUCAAUCUCCUUUCUCGCCUCCUUCGUCUUGACCCUGUCACUUUGCCAAACUCCAACGGCCCAUCAACAUUGACGCACCCCAACAAACAAGGAACCACCGUCAACAAUCAACCCCAGAAAUACAUACACCCAUCAACCACCAACAACAUGAUCACACCUACAAUCAUACACAUAGUACGGUCACCUUUAAUUGAGUUUUAAUCAAUUUUUGAUUUCUCGAGAAUCUAAAACCCAAUUCAUCUUACUGAUUUAGAGAGAGUGAAGGGAGAGAGGUAGAGAAAAUAGAGCCUAAUUCAUUUCAUAAAGUGAGAGAGAGUGAGGAGAGGGGCGGGGAGAGAGAGGAGAGAGGCGUAAAGAAUGAGAAGAGGGGGAGAGAAAGUACCGUAUAUUUGCAAACCAAAGGUAGGCUUUUAAA